GUGAGAGGAUUGGCAAAGGGUGCUUCUUUCCAGCCAGAAGAUAAAUGGAAGCCUCUUGAUAACCCCAGAAACAGGGACCUGAUUAUGAAGAAAAGAAAAAAUCCUUUCAGAACUACUUCAAAGACUGAAAGAUUCUGCUGAUGAAGGCAUUGACUUCAGAACUCCAUGCCA